rnacentral:rRNA from 1 species
GAUAGAUGCGUGCGAGCAGCGGAGGUGAAGUGAGGGAGGCGAGGGUGUCGGGGAAUGGAGUGGGGUAAAGCGUAAGUGUGCGGGUUUGUAAGUCGGGGGGGAAAUCCGGGAGGGCAAGUCCAGAACUGCCGUCGAGACGGGAGAGGUCGAGUCCGGGAGAGGUGAGUGGAACGGCGAGUGUAGAGGUGAAAUUCGUAGAUAUUCGCAAGAACACCAGGGGCGAAGGCGGCUCACUGGCCCGGUACUGACGCUGAGGUGCGAAAGCGUGGGGAGCAAACAGGAUUAGAUACCCUAGUAGUC